CUCUCUCUCUACCUUCUGCUCCCUCCUCUCUACCUCCUCCUUCUCUCUCUCUACCUACUUCUCUCUCUCUACCUUCUGCUCCCUCCUCUCUACCUCCUCCUUCUCUCUCUCUCUUCCUCCUACUUCUUCCUCUGUUUCUGUCUCUCUACCAUCAAAAAAAAGUAAAUGUUAAGGGAAAAGAAGAAGUGAAACUUGCUUGGAAACCUUGCACCACAUGUGGCAAAGUGUGGGAUGACACCUGGGAGCCAGCUGUACAGUAUACAGAGCCAAAAACCAGCCCACAAUAAAAU